GUCCCUAUCGUCUAGAGGCCUAGGACAUCGCCAUUUCACGGCGGUAACCGGGGUUCGAAUCCCCGUAGGGACGCCA
rnacentral:tRNA from 1 species